AGCGAACGCUGGCGGCAGGCCUAACACAUGCAAGUCGAACGAACCUUUCGGGGUUAGUGGCGGACGGGUGAGUAACACGUGGGAACGUGCCUUUAGGUUCGGAAUAACUCAGGGAAACGUGUGCUAAUACCGGAUGUGCUCUUCGGGGGAAAGAUUUAUCGCCUUUAGAGCGGCCCGCGUCUGAUUAGCUAGUUGGUUGAGGUAAUGGCUAACCAAGGCGACGAUCAGUAGCUGGUCUGAGAGGAUGAUCAGCCACAUUGGGACUGAGACACGGCCCAAACUCCUACGGGAGGCAGCAGUGGGGAAUCUUGCGCAAUGGGCGAAAGCCUGACGCAGCCAUGCCGCGUGAAUGAUGAAGGUCUUAGGAUUGUAAAAUUCUUUCACCGGGGACGAUAAUGACGGUACCCGGAGAAGAAGCCCCGGCUAACUUCGUG
rnacentral:rRNA from 1 species